AAAAAAAAACCUUGUAGAUCAUGCAUAUAAUAACUCAAUAACCGUGCAUCGGAUUAAAACAAACUUAACAUGAAAGUUGCUUAGAUUUUCGUCUAGUUUCAUAAUAUGCAACUUUCAUGCAUGUUUGAAAUGUUUAAAAUGCUGUUUUUUUAAAUUUGCCCCUAUGCCAUGUUAAAAUGCUUUACUUCAUAACUAAGCAACCGUAGCUCGGAAUCUAAUGAACUUUAUAUGUAAAUGGGGUAGAAAAAUGCCUAGUUUAACUUGGUGGCAUCACUUUGCAUGUUAAACAACUCUAAAAUAUGGUUUAGGGCAGAACAGUACCAUAACCAAAAUAUGCACAUGAGGAUUUUUCCGGACUUGUUGCUUGUUGUUCCGGCCUCAUUUAAACUUGCCUAGAUAGGUAGUUUUCAUUUGCUUCACCCUCUUGCCAUGUUUAACAACAUUUAAUAUUGUUGGGUACAUAAACAAGAUCGAACUAAAUAAGUCAUGUGGUGUUUUCUUUAAUAUGCAACUCCGUUGCAUAAUGAGCUCCACUUAAUUCGUAGGAUUGUUUGUGCACUUUGCCAUGCCAUGCUUCAUUAAACCGGACAUGCAUCAUACUCGAUUGUGCAUCAUGACAUGUUGAUGUGUUGGUUGUUUACUAUGUUGUUUGCUUCUUUCCGGUGUUGCUUCUUCGGGUUGGUUCUGAUAACGUCGUGUGUGUGAGGAUCCGUUCGACUACGUCUGUGUAUCUUCUUCAUGGACUCGUUCUUCUUCCUUGCGGGAUUUCAGGCAAGAUGACCAUACCCUCGAAAUCACUUCUAUCUUUGCUUGCUAGUUGCUCGCUCUUUUGCUAUGCCUAUGCUGCGAUACCUACCACUUGCUUAUCAUGCCUCCCAUAUUGUUAAACCAAGCCUCUAACCCACCUUGUCCUAGCAAACCAUUGUUUGGCUAUGUUACCGCUUUGCUCAGCCCCUCUUAUAGCAUUGUUAGUUGCAGGUGAAGAUUGAAGUUUGUUCCUUGUUGGAACAUGGAGAUGUUGUUCCUUGUUGGAACAUGGAUAUUUGUUGGGAUAUCACAAUAUCUCUUAUUUUAAUUAAUGCAUCUAUAUACUUGGUAAAGGGUGGAAGGCUCGGCCUUAUGCCUGGUGUUUUGUUCCACUCUUCCCGCCCUAGUUUUCGUCAUAUCGGUGUUAUGUUCCCGGAUUUUGUGUUCCUUACGCGGUUGGGUAAUAAUGGGAACCCCUUGACAGUUCGCCUUGAAUAAAACUCCUCCAGCAAGGCCCAACCUUGGUUUUACCAUUCGCCACCUAGCCUUUUUCCCUUGGGAGUCGCGCAUCCUAACGGUCAUCUUUAUUUUAACCCCCCCUCCGGGCCAGUGCUUGUCUAAGUGUUAGUCCGAACUAGAGUCCUUUGCAGCGCCACCUCGGGGAAACUUGAGGGCUAGUUUUAGUUGUACGGAGCGCUCAUCCGGUGUUUCCCUGAGAAUGAGAUAUGUGCAGCUCCUAUCAGGAUGUCGGCGCAUCGGGCGGUCUUGCUGGUCUUGUUUUUACCUGUCAAAAUGUCUUGUAACCGGCAUUCCGCGCCUGAUCGGGUCUUCCCGCUAGAAGGAAUAUCCUUCGUUGACCGUGAGAGCUUGUGAUGGGCUAAGUUGGGACACCCCUGCAGGGAUUUGAACUUUCGAAAGUCGUGCCCGCGGUUAUGGGUAGAUGGGAAUUUGUUAAUGUCCGGUUGUAGAAAACCUGAAGUUAACCUUAAUUAAAAUACAUCAACCGCGUGUGUUACCGUGAUGUUCUCUUCUCGGCGGAGUCCGGGAAGUGAACACGGUGUUGGAGUUAUGAUUGACGUAGGUUGUUCUAGGAUCACUUCUUGAUCAUAGUUGUUUGACCGUGCUUUUGCCUUCUCUUCUCGCUCUCUUUUGUGAAUAAGUUAGCCACCAUAUAAGCUAGUCGCUUGCUGCAACUCCACCUCAUACCUUUACCUUACCCAUAAGCUUAAAUUAGUCUUGAUCGCGAGGGUGUGAGAUUGCUGAGUCCCCGUGACUCACAGAUACUUCCAAAACCAGCUUGCAGGUGCCGAUGAGUCCGUGCAAAUGACGCAACCAAGCUCAAGAGGAGCUCGAUGAAUAUCUUGUCCUUUGUGUUGUUUCGUUCUAGUUGAUCAGUAGUGGAGCCCAGUUGGGGUCGAUCGGGGACCUUGUCACAUUUGGGGUUCUUAUUUUAUUUUGGUUCAGUAGUCGGACCUUGAUUGUUUUUUUUAUGUUGUAAUGCUUUAUUCAUGUAAUUGUGUGAAGUGGCGAUUGUAAGCCAACUAUGUAUCUUUUACCCUAUUGUAUUACAUGGGUUGUUUGUGAAGAUUACCUCACUUGCGACAUUGCUUUCAAUGCGGUUAUGCCUCUAAGUCGUGCUUCGACACGUGGGAGAUAUAGCCGCAUAGAAGGCGUUAUAG
rnacentral:lncRNA from 1 species